rnacentral:siRNA from 1 species
UAUUCUUUGGUGGUAUGUUAAUA